rnacentral:rRNA from 1 species
CUGAACAUUGAGCCUUGAUGUGUAGGAUAGGUGGGAGGCUUUGAAGCGUGGACGCCAGUCUGCGUGGAGCCAACCUUGAAAUACCACCCUUUAAUGUUUGAUGCUCUAACGUUGGCCCGUAAUCCGGGUUGCGGACAGUGUCUGGUGGGUAGUUUGACUGGGGCGGUCUCCUCCCAAAGAGUAACGGAGGAGCACGAAGGUUAGCUA